UGACUNGAGUGCAGAAGGGGAGAGUGGAAUUCCAUGUGUAGCGGUGAAAUGCGUAGAUAUAUGGAGGAACACCAGUGGCGAAAGCGGCUCUCUGGUCUGUCACUGACGCUGAGGCUCGAAAGCGUGGGUAGCGAACAGGAUUAGAUACCCUGGUAGUNCACGCCGUAAACGAUGAGUGCUAGGUGUUAGGCCCUUUCCGGGGCUUAGUGCCGGAGCUAACGCAAUAAGCACUCCGCCUGGGGAGUACGACCGCAAGGUUGAAACUCAAAGGAAUCGACGGGGGCCCGCACAAGCGGUGGAGCAUGUGGUUUAAUUCGAAGCAACGCGAAGAACCUUACCAGGUCUUGACAUCCCGAUGCUAUUCUUAGAGAUAGGAAGUUACUUCGGUACAUCGGAGACAGGUGGUGCAUGGUUGUCGUCAGCUCGUGUCGUGAGAUGUUGGGUUAAGUCCCGCAACGAGCGCAACCCUUAUUGUUAGUUGCCAUCAUUAAGUUGGGCACUCUAGCGAGACUGCCGGUAAUAAACCGGAGGAAGGUGGGGAUGACGUCAAAUCAUCAUGCCCCUUAUGACCUGGGCUACACACGUGCUACAAUGGUCGGUACAACGAGUUGCGAGCCGGUGACGGCAAGCUAAUCUCUGAAAGCCGAUCUCAGUUCGGAUUGGAGGCUGCAACUCGCCUCCAUGAAGUCGGAAUCGCUAGUAAUCGCGGAUCAGCACGCCGCGGUGAAUACGUUCCCGGGCCUUGUACACACCGCCCGUCACACCACGAGAGUUUGUAACACCCGAAGUCGGUGAGGUAACCUUUUAGGGGCCAGCC
rnacentral:rRNA from 1 species